GUUAGGAAUAUUGGACAAUGGGCGCAAGCCUGAUCCAGCCAUGCCGCGUGAGUGAUGAAGGCCUUCGGGUUGUAAAGCUCUUUAGCCGAUGAUUAUAAUGACUGUAGUCGGAAAAUAAGCCCCGGCUAACUUCGUGCCAGCAGCCGCGGUAAUACGAAGGGGGCGAGCGUUAUUCGGAAUCACUGGGCGUAAAGCGUGCGUAGGCGGCUUUGCAAGUUGGGAGUGAAAGACCAGGGCUCAACCCUGGAAUUGCUCUCAAAACUGCAAGGCUCGAAUUCGGGAGAGGAUAGCGGAAUUGUCAGUGUAGCAGUGAAAUGCGUAGAUAUUGACAGGAACACCAGUGGCGUAAGCGGCUAUCUGGACCGAUAUUGACGCUGAGGCACGAAAGCGUGGGGAUCAAACAGGAUUAGAAACCCUUGUAGUCC
rnacentral:rRNA from 1 species